UACUAAUUGGGAGCUCCUACUUUUAAAGGGCAAGUGAUCUAUUAGAAGUUUGUAUGUAAAUACACGCUAUAAAAGCACCCUCUUCGAUGAUUUUAAACAUAGUCUUGUAGCUUCUGCUGUACAAAGAUGUUCAAAUACUUUGCCUUGUUCGCACUUCUCUUCGUGUUGGCCAUCGCCGCACCAGAACCCGAACCACAGCACCCAUACGGCCAUCAUUAUUACCAACAUGGGGUCCAUCCCUACAGCUAUGGCCAUCAGCAUCACUUUGUCAAUCCCCACCACGCUGGAUAUUAUGGCCACCAUCACGGUCACUUAGGAUACCACUACUAAUUUUGAUGUUUUCAUUUUUUGUACAUAAUUUUUUGGUGUAAAUACUCGUUACCAGGUACCAUAACUCUAAAUAAAAAUUCCUCGCAAACGA